GCAUGUUUGCUGUUAUGGCUGUUUCUACUUCAGUUUAGAAGGCAACCCAGCUAAGAGAUAGAGUUUCAGUGACAUGAAGAGUUUGACGUGAAUAAUACCGUGUGUAUGCAUACAUGUUCCAGUUCUGCUUGAUGCCUUACUAAAUUCAUCACUCAUGAUAAAGGAGAUUUAUCUCAACAUGAGGAGUAAAGCUGUUGGUUGUUGUGAUUUCCAUUUUUACGGUUUUUUCAUCAUGAAGAUUGCAGUGUGCUUCUUAGAAAAGAGAUCCUUAAGCCAAUGCUGUUCAUUGUCCAUGACGGAAGAGGGACUUCCACGUUCCACCUACGUUCUGCUGCAUCUUUAUCUUCCCGACGUAGCAUCUAAGCAUCCAGCUUCAGUGCUUCAGUGCUUCUUAUGCUAAAAAAACAACUUUUCUUGCUUCACUGGCGAGGCUGGAUCCCUUCAGUUGCUGUGACACACCUGCAGUCACUCACCACGGGAUAUUGGCCAGAGGAGACGUCGAGAAGAUGGAUUUUCUCAUCUUUAACAGUCGUCACCGGUCUCCGUCGGAUGUUGCCGCUGCUCCUGAUGUGAACGAAACUCAGUGGAGUGGGGACCAUCACUGGAAAACGAAAAGGGACAAUCGCGACCAUCACCGAGACUCGUCAUCAACGUGGAUCAUGGUAUUGUUGGUAUUAUUUCAUCUGUGUUAGUGUUAGUUAACCCGUUGGCUGCCACGCCUUUGUU